CUCUUUGGUUAUCUAGCUGUAUGAGUGUACGAGAUCUCAUAAAGCUAGAGAACCGAAUGU
rfam:Lonchura striata domestica isolate white83orange57 scaffold_447, whole genome shotgun sequence.